GCAAGGUGGCAGGCACCCAUAGUCCCAGCUACCCAAGAGGCUGAGGCAGGAGGAUAGCUUGAGCCUUGGAGUUCUUGGAGUAGUGCUGUAUUGGAGUUCUGAGGUAUGAUCCAUAUUAAGUUUGGCAUCAAUAUGGUGACCUCUUAGAAGCAGGAGACCACUAAGUUGCUCAAGGAGCAGUGAACUGGCCCACUUCAAAAAUGGAGCAGGUCAAAACUUGCAUGCUGAUCAGUAGUGGUGCGGUGCCUAUGAAUUGCCCCUGCCCUCCAGCCUGGGCAACAUAGCAACACCUGA
rnacentral:SRP_RNA from 10 species